rnacentral:rRNA from 1 species
UGAAUAUUGGACAAUGGGGGCAACCCUGAUCCAGCCAUGCCGCGUGCGUGAAGAAGGCCUUAGGGUUGUAAAGCGCUUUCACUGGUGAAGAUGAUGACGGUAGCCAGAGAAGAAGCCCCGGCUCACUCCGUGCCAGCAGCCGCGGUAAUACGGAGGGUGCAAGCGUUAACCGGAAUUACUGGGCGUAAAGCGCACGUAGGCGGCUCUGCAAGUCGGGUGUGAAAUCCCCGGGCUCAACCUGGGAACUGCAUUCGAUACUGCAUUGCUGGAGUAUGGGAGAGGGAAGUGGAAUUUCCGGUGUAGCGGUGAAAUGCGUAGAUAUCGGAAGGAACACCAGUGGCGAAAGCGACUUCCUGGACCAAUACUGACGCUCAGGUGCGAAAGCGUGGGGAGCAAAC